CGCUGGCGGCGUGCCUAAUACAUGCAAGUCGAGCGGACUUUUUAAAAGCUUGCUUUUAAAAAGUUAGCGGCGGACGGGUGAGUAACACGUGGGCAACCUGCCCUGUAGACUGGGAUAACCUCGGGAAACCGAAGCUAAUACCGGAUAAUCAAUUGAAGCACCUACUUCUAUUGUAAAAGUUGGGAUACUAACACUACAGGAUGGGCCCGCGGCGCAUUAGCUAGUUGGUAAGGUAAUGGCUUACCAAGGCGACGAUGCGUAGCCGACCUGAGAGGGUGACCGGCCACACUGGGACUGAGACACGGCCCAGACUCCUACGGGAGGCAGCAGUAGGGAAUCUUCCGCAAUGGACGAAAGUCUGACGGAGCAACGCCGCGUGAACGAUGAAGGCCUUCGGGUCGUAAAGUUCUGUUGUUAGGGAAGAACAAGUACCGUUCGAAUAGGGCGGUACCUUGACGGUACCUAACCAGAAAGCCACGGCUAACUACGUG
rnacentral:rRNA from 1 species